UAAGCGCCAAUACAUUCUCGAGCUGAUGUGACGCGGUCAGUGAGUUGAGCUUUAGACUUGAAUGUGUUAAUAUUCGUGACCAUGAGAGUUGUAUUGUAUGUCCUGUUAAUAGUGGUAUUGUAACAGUAUAAAUUAGUGACAGUUUUAUAAACAAUUAUUUUAUUUAAAGAGUCACAUAAUACACACGCGAAGUUAGGGCUAAGAAGCCCCUCUCUAAUACUUAACCUGGGGACCAACACUUAAAGGUGACUUCCAAACCACCAGCAAUGGCCAGGCAGGCAGGCUGCAAGCAAGGACAAGAUUGCUCAGCAGUCACCCAUCCAAGUAGCAGCCACGAUUGACGUUGCUUGAUCUGGUUAUAUUGCGGUUGACAUGCAAGUGACAGCUAUUUCACUCCAAGGUGAAGUCCUGGCUUUGGCUUGAAUUACUAUGUUCAAAAGCAGUGCACAUCAGCAGUAGAACUCCAGACAAGUGUAAAUUAAUGAAUAAAUUCUCAAGCGGACAAAGUCUAC